AAAUGGAUAAAAAAAAAAAAAAGUUACAUAUAUACAAAUACCAGUUUAAAGAUAUGUGAUAAUAUCAUUUUUCUAAGAAGUGAUGUUUUAAAGUUGUAAGUUCCAAUAAAUACCUCCAUCUGGAUUGUUUGGCAUUGUCCAUCUCAAUAUCAAUUUACUCACUAAUGUAAUACAACAAUUUAGACAGUUAAGUAUACUUGAAAAUGGGUUAUACUGAAAUAAAAACCAGAUACAAAUGCUAAUACAAGGCAGAACAAAAUAUUGAAAUAUUUUUCCACAUCUUUGCUACUGCUCAGGUAAGAACCACAGUUUAUGGUGGUGCCUGCCUUCUCUCCAACUGUAACAUCUGGAAAAAACUAAGAAAGUCUAACUUGCAGCCCGCGGGCUACAUGGAGGACUACGUGAGGACUUUUUUUGCUUAUCUGUGGUAUCAGAUUAUCAUGAAAAGUAUGCAUGGACUUUCAUUUUUGCUCGUGUAUUUACUGUGUGGCCCAAGACCACACUUACUCUUUUUCAGUGUGCAGCACAGGGUGAAAAAAGGUUGGACACUCCCGUCCUGGCCAACGUCCUUGGGUGUUUUAUUUGUACGCGGUGGUAGUGAAGCUGCACACAUCCUCGACUAGGUGGUCGGGGCACACAGCAUUCCAGCCCUCACCACACGGACCGUGGAUUAUAUAACACACAGCGCGUUUCCGGUAAGGUACAGGAAGUCCCUCUUACUACCAACUGUCCUUGUCCUGCUGGCCUAAGGAGCAUCCUCAUUUCUCUCAGUUUACAAUGCAGGACACCCUUAGCCCUGGGAGGAUGUCGUAGGGUUUCACUAAAUGCCUCAAGUGCUUUGAAAUCGUGAAAGAUUUCGCAGCACUGCAAAGAGCGACAACAUGGCCUGCUGUUAUUCCCGGCGCGCGCUCAAGUGUCUGGCCGAGACCACAGCUUAUCCCCGAAGUGGGUGCAGGACGUCUGACCACCUGCCGGCAGAACAAUGCGGCCGGCCGGCGAGGGAGGAAGCGAGGGCGGAGCUCCCGCAGCCGGCUCUCCAGGGCAACACCCCCAACUGCCCGAAGGCACCUGGCGGGGGCGGCCUGGGCCCUCCCAGCGCGGCCCUCCUACGGCGCAGCCCGCGGCGCGGACAGCUUCUCUCCCGAGGCCUGGAUGCGCCGGGCACCUCGGUCCAACCCGUUUUUCCGGGGCGGUGACCUCAGCAAGAGGAGGGCCGGACGGGCUGUCGCCGGCCGGAGGGAGACAGGCAGGAAGGGCUUCCGUCGUGUUUGCGCAGGAACAUGGGUCUGUCACUCAGGCUGGAGUACAAUGGCAUGAUCACAGCUCACAGCAACCGCAAGCCCCUGGUGGUGCUGGAUUGCAGGUUUGGUGGCUGACACAGGAGGAAAGAUUAAAGGAGCUGAGUGACAUAUCCAAGCUGAUAGGACAGCUUCUCACGAGGUUCUGCGGCUGACAGGGAUGGAUCAGCAUGAGGAGGAUGGAGGAGAGGGCUCCCUGUCACCACAGCUACCAACAGUCUGCCAGGUAGCAAAGGGGCCUGAGAAAUGGACUGAGAAAUGGAAAGCUGCAAUGUGUGCCAGGGGACAUGUCCUUCCAGAAACACUUUCCUCAAGAGGAGAUGGCAUGUGCAAGGCGAAGGGACCAGACCCCACACUGGCUGGGCAGCACCCAGGGAAGUGCUGUGUGGCACCUGGCUGGCUGAUCCAGUCCCUGGAGACAAUAUUGACCUGCCACUUGUCUUAUUCAUCCUUCACCUUCAGGACGUGACUGUGAAGUCUGCUCUUGUGAAACCUCUCUGGCUUCCCCACCCCAGAUUCAGGUGUGCCCCUUCCUCAGGGGGAAUUUGAUGCAUAUCUGUGUAGGAUCUCUGUGGAGGAAAAGGCCACAGUGGUUAAAUCCUCACACAGUGACCAGUAUGUCUUUGGCCCCUGGGCCUGGCAGAGGGUGGCUCAAGAAUGAGGUGUGGGGAUGAGCAAGCCAAGCACAGCCCGCUGGUUAUUCAGCCAGUGCUGCCAUGUCUGCAAAGAUUCAGUCAAUCACACUAAGGGAAGGUUUUUGUUUUCUGAGACAGGGUCUCACUCUGCUGCCCUGGCUGGAGUGCGGUGGUGCAAUCAUAGGUCACUGCAGCCUAGAACUCCUGGGCUCAAGUGAUCCUUGUACUUGAGAAGCUAGGACUACAGGUGCAAAUCACCAUGCCCAGAUAAUUAUUAUUUUUUUUAGAGAUGGGAUCUUGCAUGUUGCGUUGUCUCAGUCUUCCGUGCUCAAUUGAUCCACACACCUCGGGCUCCCAAAGUGCUAAAAUUACAGGCAUGAGACACCUGGCCCAGCCAAGUUGAUAUACAUACAGCACUGAUGCCAAUUGGGCAAAUAAAAUCAAUUUAUUAAGAAAAGCCACAAUUCGGUAGGAAAAGAUCAAACAAGUUUCUUGAUGUAGUAUAGACAAGAGUUAAUUGACUGAAAGUUCUCUUCAUUCAAAUGUCUUGGCGCCAUUUAGGCUGUUAUUUUAAUCUGCCUUUUCCAAGAUUAAAAAAAACUUUCGUGAGACAUUUUUUAUAUCUUUUUCAGCCAACUCUGAAGGAGAGAGACUGGCCUGGAGGCUCUGUGCAGUGUCAUGUGUCACAUGUUGGGGAAGCUGAUCCUGCCUUUGGGCACCUAGAGCUGAGCUCUGCAAGCAUACUUGGUGAAAGGGGUCAGGGGUCAUCGGUGGCUGAUUGAGGGCUCUUCCUGCAGCCUGGUACUUGCAGCUCACCUUGCCUAGGGAAAAUGGCUUUCCCGGCUUCCUUUUGCAGAUCCUGUGGUUGGAAGUGUCCCAGUGCCACAGCUGUAGUCAGUCCUGUGUGGACCUGGGCAGGACACCAGCAGCAUCGGCUAGAGGGGCUGAGGGCAGGGAAUUGUCUUAGAGCAUCACAAGGUGACUUCCAGGUUCCUGGUUUCCACAUGGGAAGAUCCUUCCUUGAGACAUGGAGCACUGGAAGGGGAGGUAGCAAGGGCAGGUGGGGACACAGCCGGGUUGGAUGAGUGUGUUGGGUUUGACUCAUCUACUCCUCCACAUGGAGAUGUCAAGAAGGAACUUAGGGUCUCAGGCUCAAAGGAAACAUCUGCUAUAGUGUACAUGAAAGUGCCCAUGGAGGGAGCCCAGAGCCUGGUAUCCAUGUGGGGUCCUCAGGGUGGGGCCAUGCCACUGGCCAGCACUGAGGGCACUAAGUUAACCAAAGCAGAAAGACCUGGGUCCUCAGGUGGACACCCUGACCCUUAAGGUUCCCCUGUCCCAUUACUCAGGAGGCUAGGGUCAUCUCCUUCCCUGGGCUCUUCCCAUAAAUGGCCUCUGGGCCAAUGCUGACCCCAAUUCUUCCUUGGCCUUGGUAAGAGGAGAGGGCAGAGAUUCUAAAGCCAUCAGUGUCCUCCCCCAGGUAGGGGGGAAGCAGAAGCAGAGGGAGAGGGAGGCUGUGAGAAUGUUGGAAUGGUUUUUCCAUUCUUACCUCUGGUUUCUGUUUCAUGGGUUUUCUCUGUGCGAAUAAAACUUGAAGUUUACCAGUGGAUAUUAAAACAAUGCAUUUUCCCCCAAAAUAGAGACAAGUGAAAUAGCUGGCGUUUUGCAGAGUCUAAUUACCAGGAAUGGCUAAAAUAGCCAAAACUUAGGAAGUGAACAGCUAGAUGACAUGGGUGUCCUUGCAUAUUUCAGCAUCUGUUUAAAGAAAGGGUGUCCAGGCUCCAUUCAUGUCUAGAGAUGCUCCUGGGAGCCACUGUAUUUCCCAUCAUUAAAGUCAAUCCAGGUUUCCAAAGAGGAAGCUAAACAAAUUGAAUCGGACCUGCCAGGCCCAGGCAGCCCAGGGCUCUGGUCCAGUCAUUGCUCCCAGUAUAGUUCUUUCUCAUUAUAAUUGAAGGUCAAAGAAUCCCAGGGCAAGUCAAUUUUAGGGAGUAAUCUUCCCGGGGUCCCUGGAGAGGCUCCAGCUGCAGGUUAGCCUUGCACUUUCACAGCGUUACUUCAGUUCUUAUUGGGCAGACUCUUUCUUUCCAAUCUUUCUUGUGCUUGUAAAGAACAGACAUAUAUCAAACUCUCUCCUUAGUUUUGUUGUGGGCAAAUUGGAGCAAUUUGGAAAAGAGCCAGAAUGCAUAUCUAUGUUACUCUAAAACAUGUAGGUGGGAAUGCAGGUAAAUAUAUUCUGUUUGUCAUUGUUGAAAAUCAAACAUCUGGGUUGUUAAUUAUUUCUUUUAUGCUCUAAUCCAGCCAUUUUGGCAAGGCAGAGGCACAGAUGGAGAGAUUCUUAUUUAUUAUUAUUUCAUGGUUGUUUACUCAUGGGUGAUAUUCAAUAUUGAACAUGAAUAUCGUGCAUGAAUACCAGCCCAAAUCAGCCAACACGGUACACGUGUCAUUGGCGUGUGCUGGGGAGCAGCUCAUGGCGUUGGCGUGUGCCUGGGUGGCAGCCCCAGCUGUCUUAUUCCCUGUGCAGAAGGGAGAAGAAGGGACACUGAGGCCGGACUUUCAAAUGGCGUUUCUUGGGUGCAAGUGUCUUGCUGGUGAAAGAGCCCAGGGUGGCCUGUGCCCAGCGUCUCCUGGGAGUUCAAUCACUGGGGGCUGGUAGCUACCUGGCUGCCCAGACGUAGGGUGGGCCUGCUGCUGGCUGGCUGUCCUCCUGAGACUGGAGCAGGAGAACACACACACCAAGGACUUGGAAUCUGAAGAUGGAUAAUCCAUGAUAUCAAAAAUGACAUUCCAAAUUGGUUCCGAAUACAAGGAUGUUUCAUAACGGUGCUGGUGCUGACUGCCUCAUAUAGCUUCAUGCUUCAAAUGUUUUUCAGCCAAAUUAAGAGGCCUAAUAGCCAUCACACUCUUGUCCAGUGCAAUUACCAUAAAUCAUUAUAAAUGAGCUCUAAUAUUGCCAGGAACAGAGAAGCACAGCCGUGGUCACGGGGAAUGUGCCCAAGAGACCGGUUUGCUGCGGGAACGUGAUGUCACGUGGCCUUCCCAGCCUGCACCUUUGCUGAGGAUGUAAGAAAAAUCUUCCCCAAAUGUUAAUGGUUGUUACAGUUUCCACUAAAUCUGAGAAAGGACUGGAAUGCAAUAUUGUCAGGAGAAAAACCAGUGGUGAUACCUGUCACAGUUAGCACUGCUGAAGGCCGGAGCUAGAGUUUACAGAGCUCUCACCGGCACCUCACAUCUGCUUACUACCUGCAAGGUGGGCUUGGUUAUUACUUCAUUUUACUGAUGAGGAAUCUGAGGCACAGAGACAGUUUGUCCAGAUUUACACAGCAGGCAGUGGUACAAGCAGGUUCUAUUAUGAGGCUACAGUUUUUCCUCCUUAAAUCCACUAAUUUCACGCCAAUUGUUGAUACAAUUUGCGUGUUUUGGGGAAGGAGACCCAACUUCUGCCCUUCUUGGCUGGGCUAGGUGAUCAGCUUGGAGGGAGACUGUUCUGCUGUCUUGUGCUGCCCCCGUGGGCUCCAGGCUGCUGGAGAGAAGGCCAGCCAACGCCGGGAAAGGGGUGUGGGAGCCUGUCCUUGAAGGUCAGGUAAUGCUCUCAUUUUCAUCCCCUCCCCCUAGACAAGGGGAGUGUAAAUUCCAGGUAAACAUGAGGUUCUCUUACCUCUACCGCGCCCAGGCUCCAAGCUGACCUGUACCGUACCCCUCUCCCCACCUGGCCCUGGGCUCCUUAUGGCCACAAUCUGCACCCAGGGUGGGCAGAUUCAGCAAGCAAGACAGAGACUGUCAGUUAAAUUCCAAUUCCGGGUAGACAAUGAAAAACAUUUGGGACAUACACUCAAAAACUUAUUUGCUGUCUUUCUGAAAUUCAAAAUAAGUGGGUCACCCUCGCUCUAUCUGGGAACCUUCCUCGGCACCCCCAGGCGUUCCCCGCCCCUCCCUUGGGCAGUUGGGAGAGUCUUCCUUCACCCUGCGAAGGCUCCCUGGUGGUGGACUCGGGAUGAGACCCCGGAGGGACUUGCCCUGGAAGUCACCGGUGCCGUGGGACACAAGCGACCGGCCGGCGCCCAGGAG